AACUGUGGCUCUUUCAAUAUGGGAAAAAAGUUUGGCCGCUACUCAUGGCUUAGGUCAGCAGAUUCAACCAGAAGGCGUGUGGAAUUUUACUUAGCUAGCCAACAACGCCUUGCACAACAAAAGCUUCCAGAAGAGCGUGAUGAAUGGAGACCUUUCUAUAAUUAAAUAUGACUGGACAUCACUAUCCGAUAGCUGAUUAUCAGGAUAUUUUUCCAAAUCCUAAGAAUGUGGGAAAAUUCUUUGCGAGCACAUUUCAAACAUAAUGUCAUAUCUAGUAUCAUAGAAAAUAGUGUAGAGAAAGGCAUAAUUUUGAUUAAUUUACAUAAAUGUAUUACAGUCUCAUGAUUUUAACCUAAUUUUAAGUCAGUAUAUUUCUAUU